AAAAAAUUUGUUCACCGGAAAAGGCAAUAAAAAACUGUUUUCCCCCCUAUUCAUUAAAAAAAAAAAAAAAAAAUGCCGCGUCAUUAUCCUCCGACUACUUUCUGUCUUCUUCUUUGUGGUUUGAGGCGGUGGUAAGAUCUGGUUGUUGAUUAUGUGACUUCUGUGACACGUAAAAAGUGUUGCCGUUGCAGUUUUGCAAAAUAAACCAAUUUCAACAUGGCCAAAAAACUUCCUCAUCCUAGUGCCAAAACCUGUGAUCAAAAAAUGAGGUAGUUUUUAGAAAUUGGUGUAUUGCCAUAAAGCAAAUUUAUUUUCAGAAUGUUAAAUUGCGCAAUUAUAUAGUCAACGGAAACCCAAAUAAUGACUCGAAUUACCUUAGAGCGUUAUGUGUUGCUUCAUGUUGUCAAGCAGGUUCUGCUUCAGCGCAUUAAGGUUCCUUCUUCAAACAGGGCCUGGUUGGUUUGGUGAACUUUUAAUCGUAAUAAAUGAAAUCAUUAUGAAACACUACAAUAACAACAGAGGUGCAUCAUGGGUUAAGUUUUUCAGUUACUUUUAGCCUUUUCAGAUUUUUCCUUUUUUUUUAAACUAAAUGUGUUUGAAUGUUUACCUCUUCAGUUAUUGUGUAAAUUUGUUGCUUUUUUGUUUUUCUUCAAUUUUUCCACAUAACCUUUAUUAAAAAAACUGACACUUGUCUACUUGAACAGGAAGUUGAGGUAUUUUUUGUGAGACUUGUACUGAGAUCAACCCAAAUGCUGCCGAUUUGCUUAUUUAUUACAAAGAAAAUGCAUGUAGUCACUGUAUAUGACUACAUAUACAGUGACUACAUAUACGUUUAUUUAACGUACUUUAAAUAAAUGCAACAACUCAGUUAUUUUUUUCAUUACUUUUCAUCGUUUCACCACUAGAGGGCAGCAAAUGUUAAUCUGGUUUAUACAGUAAACAAAAUAAAAUGCAUAAAAUAUCUGAC